AUGAACGCUGACAGAAUGCUUAACACAUGCAAGUCAACUUGAACUUCGGUUUGGGUGGCGGACGGGUGAGUAACGCGUAAAGAACUUGCCUCACAGCUAGGGACAACAUUUGGAAACGAAUGCUAAUACCUGAUAUUAUGAUUAUAUGGCAUCGUAUAAUUAUGAAAGCUAUAUGCGCUGUGAGAGAGCUUUGCGUCCCAUUAGCUAGUUGGAGAGGUAACAGCUCACCAAGGCGAUGAUGGGUAGCCGGCCUGAGAGGGUGAUCGGCAACAAGGGGACUGAGACACGGCCCUUACUCCUACGGGAGGCAGCGGGGGGGAAUAUUGGACAAUGGACCGAGAGUCUGAUCCAGCAAUUCUGUGUGCACGAUGAAGUUUUUCGGAAUGUAAAGUGCUUUCAGUUGGGAAGAAAAAAAUGACGGUACCAACAGAAGAAGUGACGGCUAAAUACGUG
rnacentral:rRNA from 1 species